UUCCGGUUGAUCCUGCCGGACCUGUUGCUAUCGGAUUGAUACUAAGCCAUGCGAGUCUCUGUAGCAAUACAAGGCAGACGGCUCAGUAACACGUAGUCAAUCUACCCUAUGGACGGGGAUAACCUCGGGAGACUGAGAAUAAUACCCGAUAGAUCAUUAUGCCUGGAAUGGUUUAUGGUUCAAAUGAUUUUUCGCCAUAGGAUGGGACUGCGGUCUAUCAGCUUGUUGGUGAGGUAAUGGCCCACCAAGGCUAUAACAGAUACGGGCUCUGAGAGGAGAAGCCCGGAGAUGGGUACUGAGACACGGACCCAGGUCCUAUGGGGCGCAGCAGGCGAGAAAACUUUGCAAUGUGCGAAAGCACGACAAGGUUAACCCGAGUGUUUUCUGCUAAAGAAAUCUUUUGUCAGUCCUAAAAACACUGACGAAUAAGGGGUGGGCAAGUUCUGGUGUCAGCCGCCGCGGUAAAACCAGCACCUCAAGUGGUCAGGAGAUUAUUGGGCCUAAAGCAUCCGUAGCCUGCUCUGUAAGUUUUCGGUUAAAUCUAUAUUCUCAACAUAUAGGCUGCCGGGAAUACUGCAGAGCUAGGGAGUGGGAAAGGUAGAUUGUACUCGGUAGAAGGGGUAAAAUCCUUUGAUCUAUUGAUGACCACCUGUGUGCGAAGCGGUCUACUAGAACACGUCGACGGUANGGAUGAAAGCUGGGGGAGCAAAGCCGGAUUAGAUAUCCCAGGUAGUCCCAGCUGUAACUAUGCAAACUCAGUGAUGCACUGGCUUUGUGGCCA
rnacentral:rRNA from 1 species